GUCCCCGUGGCUUCGGGGGGCGCCGGGCCCAGGCUCAAGAUCCUCGGGGCGCGCCCCGGUCACCCCCUCCCAGGCCAGCACCAGGCAGCGCCAAACGGGGGCGCAGGCUCAUGGCUGGGGCCUCCUCUCCUGCCCGUGCGUCUGGAGUCUGUUUGUCCGAGGCCCCGGCGCAGGUAGAGGCACGGGGCUGGGGGAGGCAGAGCUCCCUGGAGCUGGAAACCCGGCCGGAGGGGACCCUCCAGGCGCCCCCUGGCCACCCGCUGCGUCCUUCCCGAUCCUUUCCAUUCCGGAGAGCGCGGGGCCUGGGCUGCUUGGAAUUCCGUUCCUCGGGAGAGGAGGCUGGCGUCCGCCCCGAGAAGGGCGCGCGGGGGCCGGGCAACAGGAGCGCCAGGCCGCUGGCUCCGGGCCUCGGCGACCCAGCGUGGCAGCUCCCGAUCCUGCCUCCACGCGUAAAAUGAGAUCGCCACGGAGCUUGGAGCCCCUUUGGGCCUGAACAGGAGCCUCUCCAAGACCCCCACGGCCUGGGGACACGUCCCCCCCUUCUGUUGUUCUGCAAGGCCACUGAGCUGGAACCAGGCAGGGACUCAGCCGCGGGAAGCUGUACCCGCCGCGGGGCGGUGAUCGCCGGAGCCGAGCGGAAGCGUCUCGCCCCGGCCACGAUCGCAAACGGAGGUGGGCAGCUCGGAGCACCCGGGAAAGCAGAGCACUGCUUUUUAUUGUCACCCAGGGGAAAGUCUGUCUGAGGGACUGGGAGUGUGUCCCUGUGCCUGAGUUUCUGGGAUCAGAAGCAGAUUAUCAGAGCCCUUUCAGAGAGCGCACAACAAAUGCGCCCGCCAUCGAAUGCAGCAUUUACCACCGCAGAUCCGCGCGCUGAUGGGCAGCCAGAUAGCCAUCCGCGGGGGGCACCGUGGAGCGCCCUGCGCCCAGCGCGCCUCCAGCCUGCGCGCAGGGGCCACCCGAGUGUGCGCUCUCUCCGGGGGAGACACUGUAGCCGGGCAGCCUUUGGAAGGCCAGCGACGGAGUGGACGCUCAGCACACGGGGGAGACGUGGGUAUGCGUGUGCCAGGGUGUCAGACAUGUGUCCUGCAAGGAAGCGCACGUGUCCCAACCUUGGUGGCCCCGAGGAGCGCCUGGAGACGGCCUUGGAAAGACGCGCGUGGGGACGGGCCUGGCACGCACGUGUGACUCAUGAAGCUGGGGUCUUUGGGCAAGUCAGCUCCUGUCUGGAAUUUGCAGCUUUUCCAUCCAUUCUUUCAGCAAACACUUAUGGAGCACCUACUGUAUGCCAUACUGACCCUGGGCCGCCCCCCCC